GAUGAACGCUGGCGGCGUGCCUAAUACAUGCAAGUCGAGCGAACAGACGAGGAGCUUGCUCCUCUGACGUUAGCGGAGGACGGGUGUGUAACACGUGGAUAAUCUACCUAUAAGACUGGGAUAACCUCGGGAAACCGGAGCUAAUACCGGAUAAUAUCUUGCACCGCAUGGUUCAUUAGUGAAAGACGGUUUUGCUGUCACUUAUCGAUGCAUCUGCGCCGCAUUAGCUGGUAGGUAAGGUCAAGGCUUACCAAGGCAACGAUGCGUUUCCGACGUGAUAGAGUGAUCGGCCACACGGGAGCUUGGACACGGUCCAUGGGCCUGCGAGAGGCAGCAGUAGGGAAUCGUCCGCAGUGGGCGGGAGCCUUGCGGAGCAACGGCGCGUGAGUGGUGAAGGUCUUCGGAUCGUGAAGCUCUGUUAUGAGGUAAAAACAAAUUUGGAAGUAGCUGUGCACUUCUUGACGGUACCGAGUCAGAAAGCCACGGCUAACUACGUG
rnacentral:rRNA from 1 species